UGAUACUCCAUGGUUUAUCACCUGAAAAACUCCGAACUCGUGAGUACUGUCGAGGAUUUUUUGGAAGAGAACGGACCGAUUGUGUGCGGCAAAAUCGAGUACUGGCAUCGUCGUCUUCACUGCAACGCCCGGCCUCUCUUCCGGCGGACAAACAUAACUUUCCGGUACUGAUUCAACACCCUCCCAGUUGGAUACAAAAUUAUUCAUUUCAG
rnacentral:misc_RNA from 1 species